GUGGCCAAACUACCCUAUGGAUCCGAAUAACCUCGGGAAACUGAGGCUAAUUCGGAAUACGGCUCACUACCUGGAGUGGUGUGAGCCCGAAACGCUCCGGCGCCAUAGGAUGUGGCUGCGGCCGAUUAGGUAGACGGUGGGGUAACGGCCCACCGUGCCCAUAAUCGGUACGGGUUGUGAGAGCAAGAGCCCGGAGACGGUAUCUGAGACAAGAUACCGGGCCCUACGGGGCGCAGCAGGCGCGAAACCUUUACACUGCACGCGAGUGCGAUAAGGGGACUCCAAGUGCGAGGGCAUAUAGUCCUCGCUUUUUGCGACCGUAAGGUGGUCGCGGAAUAAGUGCUGGGCAAGACCGGUGCCAGCCGCCGCGGUAAUACCGGCAGCACAAGUGAUGACCGCUAUUAUUGGGCCUAAAGCGUCCGUAGCUGGCCAUGCAAGUCCAUCGGGAAAUCCGCGCGCUUAACGCGCGGGCGUCCGGUGGAAACUGCAUGGCUUGGGACCGGAAGACCAGAGGGGUACGUCCGGGGUAGGAGUGAAAUCCCGUAAUCCUGGACGGACCACCGGUGGCGAAAGCGCCUCUGGAAGACGGAUCCGACGGUGAGGGACGAAAGCUCGGGUCACGAACCGGAUUAGAUACCCGGGUAG
rnacentral:rRNA from 1 species